rnacentral:rRNA from 1 species
AAACCAGCACCUCAAGUGGUCAGGAUGAUUAUUGGGCCUAAAGCAUCCGUAGCCGGCUCUGUAAGUUUUCGGUUAAAUCUGUACGCUCAACGUACAGGCUGCUGGGAAUACUGCAGAGCUAGGGAGUGGGAGAGGUAGACGGUACUCGGGAGGAAGUGGUAAAAUGCUUUGAUCUCUCGAUGACCACCUGUGGCGAAGGCGGUCUAUCAGAACACGUCCGACGGUGAGGGAUGAAAGCUGGGGGAGCAAACCGGAUUAGAAACCCCAGUAGUCC